UACGUAGGUGGCAAGCGUUAUCCGGAAUUACUGGGCGUAAAGCGUGCGUAGACGGCCUUUUAAGUCUGCUGUGAAAGCCCUGGGCUCAACCUGGGAACUGCAGUGGAUACUGUGAGGCUGGAGUGCGGUAGAGGAUGGUGGAAUUCCCGGUGUAGCGGUGAAAUGCGUAGAGAUCGGGAGGAACAUCAGUGGCGAAGGCGGCCAUCUGGACCAGCACUGACGUUGAGGCACGAAAGCGUGGGGAGCAAACAGG
rnacentral:rRNA from 1 species